rnacentral:misc_RNA from 1 species
AGUGAUAAUGCCCGAAGAUAUGUCCGACAGCUUCCUCAAUAUCCUAAGCAACAAUUUUCUGCAAGGUUUCCCAGCAUGUCUGCUUUGGCUAUCGAUUUGCUUGAAAAAAUGCUUGUUUUUGACCCAACCCGUCGAAUUACAGUUGAUGAGGCCCUCUGUCACCCAUUUUUGUCAUCUCUUCAUGACCUCAACGAUGAGCCGAUUUGUCCCAGGCCAUUCAGUUUUGAUUUUG